CCUUCUGCACAUUUUGAUGAAAAUCAAUUUCGCGUUCAAAAGCUUGAAGAAAUCUGAAACUGCAGCAUCGAUCCUUUCUGCAACUCUGAACUCAAUCCUUAUGGCUAUGGAGGAUCAAUUCAACGACUAUCUUCAGCCACCUGAUUCUCUAUACACUGUGACCCUUCCUCGACCCAAAACCCGUCUUCUAUCCCCAGCGUAUCAUCUGCUGCCAACGAAUGGGCCACUAAAUUACCAGAUCGGGGUGUAAAUCGGCACAUGCAAGAAAGAAAUGAUGAUACUUUUAUCCUUGUAUCCCAUUCCCAUGAACUGAUUUCGGAGAAAUUUGGUUUCCCGGACUGUAAUUUGGUUAUAACAGUCUUGGUAUCGCCUUCGAGAAUGAUUCGACUAAAGCCCAUAUCCGCUGCAAAAUCCACUGCAUGCUUCGCCGCCAUUGCCUCUUUCAUGAAAGCCUAGCUUCUUUUUUGGCGAGGUCGAAUCGAGCAUCAAAAUUCACUUUAACUUCAAGAGGUGGAGGCAGUUUCCAGCGGACAAUAGUUUCCCUAUUUGUGACCAGAAGACGAGAAAUUGCUAUGGAAUAAUCCUUGCACUGAGCUCGGAUAGAGGCCCAUUUACAAAUCUCAAAGCCCAAAGAAUUACAAAGCCCAGAUAACAUAUCCAGACCCAGCUCAAGAGGACCUAAACUCGAUUAGGGUUUUCAUCAUCUUAACUUCCAGCCACCAUAGCUCACAGCCGUUGGAUCUGGCCUUGAUCCAACGACCCAUAUGGUUCCAGCAGAAAACCCUAGGGUAUCAUAACCUUAGGGACUAUGCGGCCGCUGCCUCUGAUGCCUCGGCCAAUUGUUGCCACGACGACGCCUCCAGAAGCACCACAACGCUAGGCCAGCCGUCCACGACCCAUGUCGCUGCCCUAUGGUGAGUCACUACCAUAGUUCAGUGACUCACUGCGAACCACUCUUGUUACCGGUCCGAGAGAAGAACCAUGGUGGCUUAUAAAAGCCAUCCAAUAAACAACCCACAACAACAAAUCAAAAGAAAAGAGAGAAAAACUGAGAAGAAACUUACCCUUGAAGAAGCUUAUCGUCGCCGGAAACCGUCGGAUUAUGAAGGUAAAAAUCUAGGUCUUAUUUCGACUUUAGGUUAGGAGAUCUACAUUUUGGGGGUAAUUUUGUAUUUUUCGGUCAUCGUUCACGGUGACCAGCGGUGGUCAUCGUCGCCGAAGCACGUUAGCCGGUCGGUGACCGGCUUCCCUCCGGCGAGGGAAACCUAGAGAGACGGCAGAGAAAAUUUUCAUCUCUCUUUUAGAGAGAGAAAAAAAGAAAUGAAAGGCAUAAGACCUUUUUCGGUUGGGUUAAGGGUAUUUAUAUCCCACCCCAAACGACGUCGU